GACGAACGCUGGCGGCGUGCUUAACACAUGCAAGUCGAACGGUGAAGCGCCUUCCUUUUUGGUGGGUGUGGAUGAGUGGCGAACGGGUGAGUAACACGUGAGUAACCUGCCCCCUUCUUCUGGAUAACCGCAUGAAAGUGUGGCUAAUACGGGAUAUUCUGGGUCUGUCGCAUGAUGGGUCUGGGAAAGAUAUUGUUUCGGUGGGGGAUGGGCUCGCGGCCUAUCAGCUGGUGGGUGGGGUGAUGGCCUACCAAGGCGGUGACGGGUAGCCGGCCUGGGAGGGUGGCCGGUCACACUGUGACUGAGACACGGCCCAGACUCCUACGGGAGGCGGCGGUGGGGAUUAUUGCUCAAUGGGCGCAAGCCUGAGGCAUCGACGCCGCGUGAGGGAUGGAGGCCUUCGGGUUGUGAACCUCUUUCGCCAGUGAAGCAGGCCUGCCUCUUUUGUGGGUGGGUUGACGGUAGCUGGAUAAGAAGCGCCGGCUAACUACGG
rnacentral:rRNA from 1 species